rnacentral:rRNA from 1 species
CAGUAGCCACGGUAAUACGAAGGGUGCAAGCGUUAAUCGGAAUUACUGGGCGUAAAGCGUGCGUAGGCGGUUUGUUAAGUCUGUUGUGAAAGCCCUGGGCUCAACCUGGGAAUUGCGAUGGAUACUGGGCGACUAGAGUGCGGUAGAGGAUAGUGGAAUUUCCGGUGUAGCAGUGAAAUGCGUAGAGAUCAAGAGGAACACUCGUGGCGAAAGCGAGCUACUGGACAAUAACUGACGCUGAGGCUCGAAGGCCAGGGUAGCGAAAGGGAUUAGAUACCCCAGUAGUCCCUGUCUCUUAUAC